UGAGGAAUCAUGCGCAAUGGGGGAAACCCUGACGCUGCGACGCCGCGUGGGUGAUGAAGGCCUUCGGGUCGUAAAACCCUGUCAAGAGGGAAGAAAGGCUUCUUGGUUAAUAGCCUUGGAGUUUGACGGUACCUCUGGAGGAAGCCCCGGCUAACUCCGUGCCAGCAGCCGCGGUAAUACGGAGGGGGCGAGCGUUGUUCGGAAUCACUGGGCGUAAAGCGCGCGUAGGCGGCUGGGUAAGUUGAAUGUGAAAUCCCUCGGCUCAACCGAGGAACUGCAUCCAAUACUGCCCGGCUUGAGUUCGGUAGGGGGUAGCGGAAUUCCUGGUGUAGCGGUGGAAUGCGUAGAUAUCAGGAGGAACACCGAUGGCGAAGGCGGCUACCUGGGCCGGUACUGACGCUGAGGCGCGAAAGCUAGGGGAGCAAACAGGAUUAGAUACCCCUGUAGUCC
rnacentral:rRNA from 1 species